rnacentral:rRNA from 1 species
GUCCAGACUCCUACGGGAGGCAGCAGUGGGGAAUAUUGCACAAUGGGGGAAACCCUGAUGCAGCGACGCCGCGUGAGUGAAGAAGUAUUUCGGUAUGUAAAGCUCUAUCAGCAGGGAAGAAAAUGACGGUACCUGACUAAGAAGCCCCGGCUAACUACGUGCCAGCAGCCGCGGUAAUACGUAGGGGGCAAGCGUUAUCCGGAUUUACUGGGUGUAAAGGGAGCGUAGACGGCAUGGCAAGUCAGAUGUGAAAGCCCGGGGCUCAACCCCGGGACUGCAUUUGAAACUGUCAGGCUGGAGUGCAGGAGAGGUAAGUGGAAUUCCUAGUGUAGCGGUGAAAUGCGUAGAUAUUAGGAGGAACACCAGUGGCGAAGGCGGCUUACUGGACUGUAACUGACGUUGAGGCUCGAAAGCGUGGGGAGCAAACAGGAUUAGAUACCCUCGUAC